GCUCCCGCUUCUCCCACCACACUUCCCUGCAAGCUGAGAGAAGCGGCUCUGGCCUUGGGCAGCCCAGAAAGGGGCUCCCUCAGUGCAGCGGUGGGCUGAAGGGCUCCUCAAGUGCCGCCAAAGUGGGAGCCCAGGCAGAGGAGGCGCCCAGAGCGAGCGAGGGCUGUGAGGACUGCCAGCACGCUGUCACCUCUCAGAACUAUUUACUCAGAAUGAGUGAAGAGACAGUCUUGCUCUGUUGCCCAGGCCGGAGUGGAGUGGCACAGUCAUAAUUCCCUGUACCCUUGAAAUCCUGAGCUCAAGCCAUCUCCAUACCUUAGCCUCCCAAGUGGCUACUACAGGACUGACUGAUAGUAUUUUCCUUUGGAAGAUCCUUUUAUAUUCUGUCUCUAUGAAAGAAGUGUUUUCAAUGAAAUAAGAUAUUUAUUCCAAAUCAAUCCUGCACCAGAAGCUCCAUUUCUGCAUUCGCUUCCAGAAAACACAGCAGCCGUAUGUGAAUUUGGGAGUGGUCCCACGAACCGGUUAUGAGACGAGGUUUUGGAGCUGGAUCACACCUGACACAACUGGCAUUGAAAACCUUAUUACCAAGAGCCUCUGGCACAAGGCUGCUAUGAAGAAAUACCCAAGACUGGGUACUUUCUCAACUUUCAAAUUGAGCUGUUCAGAAUGUGUGAAACAAUUUUAAGAUGAAGUCAAAGAUACUUGAAGCAGAAGCUGUAUCUGAGGAAGCUGUAUAUAAACCCAAUUUAAAGCAAGUUUAACCUGCUGAUUGGGAAGAAUUUUUAUGAAAAGCUGUGUGCUUCCUGAUAAGAAAAAAGGCUUUCCUGUUUCGAUCAAACCAGAACCAGAUGAGAACUCAGCACAGGCACUGCAGCCACGGAGGUUUCCAGAUAGAAAAAUUGACACCCCUGAGAUCCCAUAACAUUUUGGGGACUCAUCUGGGAUCUGCGGAAGGGAAUCAUACCUUCCCUGUUUCAAAUAACAAGCAUCAAGCAUCGUGAUAAUGUGGACACUAAGGAGCAACAAUUUCUCUAAAGAUAAGAAUAAAGAUAGACUUUUAGACUACGAGAUGGGCCUGAAAAAAUAUCUGAUCAAGCUACUCAGUUUUACAGAUGAAGAAGGUGAAGCCUGGGAAAACCUAAAGAACCUAUAUAAGGUUCUCAGAUAGACACCAUGUUAUCUGCUUGAAUGAAGAAAAUUUGAAAUGUGCAGUUUGUGAUAUCACAUGUAAAAAAGAAAGAAAGUGAAUUCCUUUGAAAAGACUACCCAC
rnacentral:lncRNA from 1 species